rnacentral:rRNA from 1 species
CUACGGGAGGCAGCAGUGGGGAAUAUUGCACAAUGGGCGCAAGCCUGAUGCAGCCAUGCCGCGUGUAUGAAGAAGGCCUUCGGGUUGUAAAGUACUUUCAGCGGGGAGGAAGGGAGUAAAGUUAAUACCUUUGCUCAUUGACGUUACCCGCAGAAGAAGCACCGGCUAACUCCGUGCCAGCAGCCGCGGUAAUACGGAGAGUGCAAGCGUUAAUCGGAAUUACUGGGCGUAAAGGCGCACGCAGGCGGUUUGUUAAGUCAGAGGUGAAAUCCCCGGGCUCAACCUGGGAACUGCAUCUGAUACUGGCAAGCUUGAGUCUCGUAGAGGGGGGUAGAAUUCCAGGUGUAGCGGUGAAAUGCGUAGAGAUCUGGAGGAAUACCGGUGGCGAAGGCGGCCCCCUGGACGAAGACUGACGCUCAGGUGCGAAAGCGUGGGGAGCGAACAGGAUUAGAUACCCCCGUAGUC